UAUUUUCUAAUAAAUGGUCCAAUUUGUAUGGGUCUGUCCUUAAAAAUUAUUUUUCAACAUAAAAUUAAUGAAAAUUUAUUUUGUAUUACUAUUAUUAUUUUAUGGUUGGACAAGGUUAAGACAAGUUCUGGGCCGAGCGCUGCAGCCAUAGAACACAUCUUAAGUACCGAGCGCAGUGAUUAGGAGUGACAGGCUAGGGGGCCGGGCUGUGCGCCUAGGGGAUGCAUACCCCCUAGCUUGUCCUUGCUACUGCUCUCUGCCCUGAAAUAGUCCUAUCUGAAGGAGCAAAAAAAGAAAAGUAAAUGGUCUGGACGAAAAAUAGGUAAGGAUAUAACCAUAUUAACCAUAUUAACUUAUAGCUCUUAAACACAAAUCCCAACUCAACUCAAUUAUUAAAUAUUCUUAAUCUCUGAAAGGUUCAUAAUGUAAACAGUAUAAAAAUGAGCGAAAAAAAGGAAAGAAAAAAAAUUGAAAAUUGUUCAGUAGUUACUAAUGUAGUAGUUACUGGAUCCGGAUUUUGUUCUAUCCGUCCGUUGGCUAGAUAAACCGUUAAUACACAUAAUUUUUGUUUGUCUAGUAUUAAACUAUAUUUAAAGAACAUUGGCAACGCCUGGUGCUUUAGUUUGUUAUCUAAAUAUACAAGUAUUCCAGAAAAUCCUAAAUCUACCAAAUUAUUAUCUGUGUUUAUUAGAUUAUUUUAUGAUUUGUUUGCUAGCGGUAAACACCAGCACAAUCAAUCAAUAAUAUUAAAGGAGAUUUUAUGAAAUCCUAAAUAAAAAAAGGAAACUCUGAAAAGAACUGCGAAUUAAAAAUGUCCAAAGUAAGAAAAACCCUUACUUCGGAUGGCGGUCUGGGGAUCCCAUGUUGGGGUUCUUUCAUGAUCUUUUUCUCAUCUUACAUCGAGAAAAUUUAUAUGAAGCAAAAAGUUAAUUUUCAAUCAUUUAUUUUACGACUUAAGUAAGAUAACUGUACCAUUUUUGGUAAUUGGUAAAGGGUGAAGAGGCUUGAAGUUUUUUUCCCUAAUCUUAAAAUGCCUUAAAUUAUUAGCAAUAUAUAUUGUUCCCUGGUACAGUGUUGUAAAUGUAAGAUAAGAAGUAUAUGAUGAAAGAAUUCUGUGGCCAUUCAGUGCUGCGUCAGCCAGGGUAUUUAUUGUUCCGUAGUCAGUGCUUUGCUUGUCUAGAUAAUAAUAUUAGACAGUGCUAUGCAGCCAAUUUAGUAGACAUUAGUCGGUGCUUAUGUCAGUGUAAAUAAUAGACAUUAGACAAUGGUUUACGAUCCAGAGUAUUUAACAGACAGUAGUUAGUACUUAGCGUGUUUAAUUAAUAGACUUUACACCUUUACAAAGCAGGAAUUUCAGUUCAGUAGACAUUAGUGAUAGACUUUAUAGACAUUAGAUAAAAUGCUACCUUUUAAUACGAAUUCAUGUAGUGCAAAAAGUUGUAGUAAACCAUUUUUAGAAAAUUAUUUCAGA